rnacentral:rRNA from 1 species
GGGCCCGCACAAGCGGUGGAGUAUGUGGUUUAAUUCGAUGCAACGCGAAGAACCUUACCAGGGCUUGACAUCCUGCGAACCUCUGUGAAAGCGGAGGGUGCCUUCGGGAACGCAGUGACAGGUGGUGCAUGGCUGUCGUCAGCUCGUGUCGUGAGAUGUUGGGUUAAGUCCCGCAACGAGCGCAACCCACGUCUUUAGUUGCCAGCAUUUAGUUGGGCACUCUAGAGAGACCGCCGGUGACAAACCGGAGGAAGGUGUGGAUGACGUCAAGUCAUCAUGCCCCUUACGUCCUGGGCUACACACGUACUACAAUGCUACGGACAAAGAGCAGCUAACUCGCGAGAGUACGCAAAUCUCAUAAACCGUGGCUCAGUUCAGAUCGUAGGCUGCAACUCGCCUACGUGAAGGAGGAAUCGCUAGUAAUCGCAGGUC